GACGAACGCUGGCGGCGUGCUUAACACAUGCAAGUCGAACGGAAAGGCCCUGCUUUUGUGGGGUGCUCGAGUGGCGAACGGGUGAGUAACACGUGAGUAACCUGCCCUUGACUUUGGGAUAACUUCAGGAAACUGGGGCUAAUGCCGGAUAGGAGCUCCUGCUGCAUGGUGGGGGUUGGAAAGUUUCGGCGGUUGGGGAUGGACUCGCGGCUUAUCAGCUUGUUGGUGGGGUAGUGGCUUACCAAGGCUUUGACGGGUAGCCGGCCUGAGAGGGUGACCGGCCACAUUGGGACUGAGAUACGGCCCAGACUCCUACGGGAGGCAGCAGUGGGGAAUAUUGCACAAUGGGCGGAAGCCUGAUGCAGCGACGCCGCGUGCGGGAUGACGGCCUUCGGGUUGUAAACCGCUUUCGCCUGUGACGAAGCGUGAGUGACGGUAAUGGGUAAAGAAGCACCGGCUAACUACGUG
rnacentral:rRNA from 1 species